AUUGAACGCUGGCGGCAUGCCUUACACAUGCAAGUCGAACGGCAGCACGGGUGCUUGCACCUGGUGGCGAGUGGCGAACGGGUGAGUAAUACAUCGGAACAUGUCCUGUAGUGGGGGAUAGCCCGGCGAAAGCCGGAUUAAUACCGCAUACGAUCUACGGAUGAAAGCGGGGGACCGUCGGGCCUCGCGCUUUAGGGUUGGCCGAUGGCUGAUUAGCUAGUUGGUGGGGUAAAGGCCUACCAAGGCGACGAUCAGUAGCUGGUCUGAGAGGACGACCAGCCACACUGGGACUGAGACACGGCCCAGACUCCUACGGGAGGCAGCAGUGGGGAAUUUUGGACAAUGGGCGAAAGCCUGAUCCAGCAAUGCCGCGUGUGUGAAGAAGGCCUUCGGGUUGUAAAGCACUUUUGUCCGGAAAGAAAACCUUGGCCCUAAUACGGUCGGGGGAUGACGGUACCGGAAGAAUAAGCACCGGCUAACUACGUG
rnacentral:rRNA from 1 species